GCCACGGUGGUCUAGCGGUCAGAAUACUAGCCUUGUAAGCCUGGGGUCCCGGGUUCAAUUCCCGGUGGUGCUC
rnacentral:tRNA from 1 species